AAUGAACGCUAGCGGUAGGCUUAACACAUGCAAGUCGGACGAGCUUUAUUUUUUCUCCUCGGAGUUAAGGUAAAGCUAGUGGCAGACGGGUGCGUAAUAUUUGGGAAUCUACCUAGGAGUUUGGGAUAACUGUUAGAAAUAGCAGCUAAUACCGAAUAAUACCCUGAGGGGGAAAGGUUUUCUUGUGACUUUGAUCGCAGAUCUUAUUUGAGAUUUUCGGUCAGUAUCAUGGAAUUCAGCUCUUAGAUGAGCCCAAACUAGAUUAGCUUGUUGGUGGGGUAAUUGCCUACCAAGGCUAUGAUCUAUAGCUGACCUGAGAGGGUGGUCAGCCACACUGGAACUGAGAUACGGCCCAG
rnacentral:rRNA from 1 species